rnacentral:rRNA from 1 species
GAUGAACGCUGGCGGCGUGCUUAACACAUGCAAGUCGAACGAUGAAGCCCAGCUUGCUGGGUGGAUUAGUGGCGAACGGGUGAGUAACACGUGAGUAACCUGCCCUUGACUCUGGGAUAAGCCUGGGAAACUGGGUCUAAUACUGGAUAUGACUUCUCAUCGCAUGGUGGGGGGUGGAAAGAUUUAUUGGUCUUGGAUGGACUCGCGGCCUAUCAGCUUGUUGGUGAGGUAAUGGCUCACCAAGGCGACGACGGGUAGCCGGCCUGAGAGGGGGGCCGGCCACACUGGGACUGAGAGACGGCCCAGACUCCUACGGGAGGCAGCAGUGGGGAAUAUUGCACAAUGGGCGCACGCCUGAUGCAGCGGCGCCGCGUGAGGGAUGACGGCCUUCGGGUUGUAAACCUCUUUCAGUAGGGAAGAAGCGAGAGUGACGGUACCUGCAGAAGAAGCGCCGGCUAACUACGUG